AGAGUUUGAUCCUGGCUCAGAAUCAACGCUGGCGGCGCGCUUAACACAUGCAAGUCGCACGAGAAAGCCGGAGCAAUCUGGUGAGUAAAGUGGCGCACGGGUGAGUAACACGUGGGUGAUCUACCUUCUUGUGGGGAAUAACCCUGGGAAACCGGGGCUAAUACCGCAUAAGCCCGAGAGGGGAAAGCAGCAAUGCGCAGGAAGAGGAGCCCGCGGUCGAUUAGCUAGUUGGUAAGGUAACGGCUUACCAAGGCUUUGAUCGAUAGCCGGCCUGAGAGAGCACACGGCCACACUGGCACUGAAACACGGGCCAGACUCCUACGGGAGACAGCAGUGGGGAAUCUUGCACAAUGGGGGAAACCCUGAUGCAGCGACGCCGCGUGAGUGAUGAAGCCCUUCGGGGUGUAAAGCUCUUUCGGCAGGAACGAUAAUGACGGUACCUGCAGAAGAAGCUGCGGCUAACUACGUGCCAGCAGCCGCGGUAAUACGUAGGCAGCAAGCGUUGUUCGGAGUUACUGGGCGUAAAGAGUGUGUAGGCGGUCAGCUAAGUUCGGUGUGAAAUCUCCCGGCUCAACUGGGAGGGUGCGCCGAAGACUGGCAGGCUUGAGUGCGGGAGAGGAAAGCGGAAUUCCUGGUGUAGCGGUGAAAUGCGUAGAUAUCAGGAGGAACACCUGCGGUGUAGACGGCUUUCUGGACCGCAACUGACGCUGAGACACGAAAGCGUGGGUAGCAAACAGGAUUAGAUACCCUGGUAGUCG
rnacentral:rRNA from 1 species